rnacentral:misc_RNA from 1 species
UCUCGGCUUAUCACCGGCAGUCCCCUUAGAGUGCCCAACUGAAUGCUGGCAACUAAGGGCGAGGGUUGCGCUCGUUGCGGGACUUAACCCAACAUUUCACAACACGAGCUGACGACAGCCAUGCACCACCUGUGGAUCACCCUCGAAGGCGACACCAUUUCGGGUGCUUGCAGAUCCAUGUCAAGCCCUGGUAAGGUUCUUCGCGUUGCAUCGAAUUAAGCCACAUGCUCCACCGCUUGUGCGGGCCCCCGCCAAUUCCUUUGAGUUUCAACCUUGCGGCCGUAGUCCCCAGGCGGUUCACUUAAUGCGUUAGCUGCGGCACCGAGGCGUAAGCCCCGACACCUAGUGAACAUCGUUUAUGGCCAAGACUAC